AGGGAUAUAGCUCAGGGAUAGAGCACAUGCUUAGCAUGUACAAGCCUGGGUUCAAUCCCCAGUACCUCUA
rnacentral:tRNA from 1 species